UACGAAGGGGGCUAGCGUUGCUCGGAAUCACUGGGCGUAAAGGGCGCGUAGGCGGCCGAUCAAGUCAGAGGUGAAAGCCCAAGGCUCAACCUUGGAAUUGCCUUUGAUACUGUUUGGCUAGAGACCGGAAGAGGUUAGUGGAACUGCGAGUGUAGAGGUGAAAUUCGUAGAUAUUCGCAAGAACACCAGUGGCGAAGGCGGCUAACUGGUCCGGUUCUGACGCUGAGACGCGAAAGCGUGGGGAGCAAACAGG
rnacentral:rRNA from 1 species